UACGUAGGUGGCAAGCGUUGUCCGGAUUUACUGGGCGUAAAGGAUGCGUAGGCGGACAUUUAAGUCAGAUGUGAAAUACCCGAGCUUAACUUGGGUGCUGCAUUUGAAACUGGGUGUCUAGAGUGCAGGAGAGGUAAGUGGAAUUCCUAGUGUAGCGGUGAAAUGCGUAGGGAUUAGGAAGAACACCAGUGGCGAAGGCGACUUACUGGACUGUAACUGACGCUGAGGCAUGAAAGCGUGGGGAGCAAACAGG
rnacentral:rRNA from 1 species